UAGAACUUUUCAGCAUUUAUUUUGAAAAGUGUUGCUAUUCGAAUCUGUUAUUUUUGGUACAGAAAAGUAGGCUAUUUCGUCGUUCAAGAAUGACAGGAAAAGUAAGUUGUUUCACGACGGAAACGCAAAAAAUAAUUUUUCGCCAUUUCAAAUAAAUAUUUGAGAUUAUAAAACAAAAUUCAAACACAUGUACUCACGUCCGGUUCCUUCCGUCCGCGGAAGAACAAACUCAUGUGCUCCCAGUCGCCAAUGUGGCUGCCAAACUCCUUCUUGGUCCCGAGGCACAUCCCGAAGAUGAGCGGAAUCGGCCACGGUCCGAGCGGCCCCAGAUUGACCGUGCAGAUAACCUUACCCUGGAACGAGAAACGAAACCAACCGAGUAAGUCACGUGAAAGUGCGGGUACUCGUUCGAAUCGUCACCCUUCUGGAUGAUGAUGUCGUCCCGCCGCUCGGUGAUGGUCUCCCAGUCGUCGGAAUCGUUGUCGAUUCCGCUGGUGUUUUCGUCCUCGUCCUCGUCG